CCCCCCUCUCUCUCCUCCCCCGUCUCUCCCAACUCUUCACUCCCGUCAACACUCGGGAGCGCGCGGCUCCUCCCAACCGUCGGCGGCCGCGCCGGCCCCGGGCGCAUGCGCGCGGAGGUGUGGCGCUGCUCCGUCCAAUUGUAGGUGCGAGGAACAGCAGGGGAGAGGUAAUUCUGCUGCACCUCAGCUUCGACAGACCUUGCUCGACAGUGUACCGUUGCCGUACUGAAGGAAAGCAACAGAAAGAGGAGGCAUUCGUCAGGAAGCAGAUGAUCUCCAGUCAUCAAUAUCAUCACAACAGAAUCUGACAAUCAAGUAGUUCUGUCAUAGAUGGGUCAAACUCCUGGAACUCCCAGGAUUGUGUGUAUACCCAUACCUCAAGGACUGCAAUGGUUUAAGAAGGUAGCUCGUCAAUACCUUCUGAAGGGCAAUUAGGGAUGGACAAUUAAAUGCUGGUUCUGCUUGUGAAGCCAACAUUCCUUGAAUGAAUAAAAUAAUCCUAAAUCUCUUAUCCCUUACCCUAAACCAAUGCCCUCUGAUUUAAGACACCUCUACUAUGGGGAAAAGCUUCCUACCAUCUAUAUUAUCUCUGUUCUUCAAUUUUGUACACCUCUAUUAGACACCUCCUUCACUCCUAAGAAAACAAACCCAGCUUAUCCAAUCCCUCCAUAUAACUGAAAUAUUCCUUCUCUGGCAACAUCCUGGAAAAUCUCCUGUGUAUCCUUUCCAAUGCAAUCACAUCCUUCCUAGUGUGGUGGCCAGAUUUAGACACAAUACCCCAGCCGUGUCCUUACAAAAGUUUCAUAAAAUUGUACCAUGACUUCCAUGCUUUUAUAUUCUAUGACCCAGCUAAUGCAGGAAAGCAUUUCCAUGUGCCUUCUUCACAGUCUGAUCUACCUGUGCUGCCAUCUUGAGGGAUCCUUGAAUUUGUAUAUGGAGUAUGUAUUACCAAUAAUAGACCUCCCAAUACGAUUUCCACUCAACAUAAAAAUGCAUUUGCAGAGGUGGCAUCUCAUAAAACAAUGUGACUAAUAAACUAUUUCCACCAUGGAUCCUGUGCUGCAUACAGGUUUAAAACUUUUAUCCUUCUGUUUCUUUCCGGAUGCCACUGCAAACACCAGCAAUUUUAAAUAUGUGUAGAAUUAUAUAUCGCAAGUCACUGACACCAUGUUUGCUAAAAGCCAGUUCAACCAACUUCAAUAAAGAACUUGAUAGGAGAAUGACUAGAAAAUGCAAUCAUACAGCGUGCAGGAUUCCCCAAGAUCCAAGGAGUCAAUACUGCAACCACAUGGUUGUGCACAUUUCAUUGAACCAUGCUACCUUGUGUUAUCAACAUGAUUCCAUUUUCUUAGUCCAACUUGUUUGCCAAUUGGUGCACUGCAUCAUACAAGUGUAAUUGAUUUUCCUUGCAAUAGCCAUAGUAAGUUUAUUUCAAAGCUGUCCAAAGUGCCAACACUCUUUCUCCUGAGAGAUGAAAAGUAACCUGCCUCACUUCUCACCGGGUGGAUGAUUCUGGACUGACGCCAGUGAAGGGAACAGUAGGUAACACUGUAUGUUUUGACUUGUUGGACAAGCUGCAUGAAAGUGAACCAGUAUCUCCUGACAGGAGAGAAAGCUCACUAAAAGAUUAAAAUAAGCAAAAGUAGGAAUUAGAAGAGCAAAAUAGGGAUUAGAUUGAGGAGUACUUUGAUACUUUUGCUUAUUAGGUACUCCCAAAUAAAUCUCAACAGAUUGUCAAUCAAUCCCACAAUCCUAAAAUGAACAAACUGCAACCUGAUGUAUAUUUCGCACAAUAGUAGCAACUGAGUAAUGGUACCAGUUUGUGGUCUGAACUACAUUUUUAUGUUUAUAUUCAAGUACUUGCAUGCCCUUCAAAUCGUCCCAAAGGUCGAUCCCAAUUUGGCCCAGUGAACGUGCCACAUUUCCAAAAUUGGUGAAUUCUCUUAUUUGACUUGAUCAAAAUAGUUCCCAAUACAGUAAAACUCCAAUACUUCAUUAUCCUGUUGUUCAGAAAUACUGAUGGUUUGGCAUCUUGCUCACUUUUUUCUGUUUCCUGCAUUCUCUUUAAACACACAGUGACUCUGGUUCUUAACUCCUUUUUGACACAAUCAAUAAAUGAAUUCCUAAUCAUUAAUAGAGGACAAAGUUUAUAAAUAGGUACUCUAGAAAAAAUACCAAGGAGAUUCACAGGGAUGUUGGCAAGACUAGAGAAAUUUCAGCUACAAGGGAAAGAUCAGAUAGGCCUGGGAUUAUUUCGUUAGGAUCAGCGGUUACUGAAGUGAGAUUUAACUGAUGUAUUAAAUUAUGAGCAGACCUAAAUAGAGUCAAUAGGAAGGAUCUUAUUUCCUUAAUAGAGGUCAUUAACCAAUGGUUAUUGAUUUAAAAUAAUUGGCAGGAGGACUGGAGGGGUGUUGGCAAAUUUUUUCAGCCAAAGAGUAGUGGGAAUCAGGGAGUGACUGAAAAGUUGGUGGAAGCAGACACUCAUUAAUCUAAUAAGUAUUUGGCUUUAAACUUAAUGUGCUGUAAUCAACCCCUAUCUGUAAGGCUACAGAUGAAGUGCUGGAAAACUUGAUCGGUAUGAGCUGUGCCAUUUUGGAGCUCCAUGCUAUAAGUAAUGACUUAUCUUAAUUUCACACAUUUAACACCAGUGGUAGUCCUUGAUUAGCCAAUGCAUUUCUAAGAUGUUCAUAAUUUUUUCCUCUGAAUUUUAGGAAUUUGUUCAUAGAUGACUUUAACCGUGGCAUCCAGCUUAACCUGCUCUCCAUCUUGAUUAGGCAUGUUGCUUCUGUUAUCCUCCAGUCUUAUAUUGAAAGAGAAUUAAAAUCUGUUCACCUUC